rnacentral:rRNA from 1 species
GACGAACGCUGGCGGCGUGCUUAACACAUGCAAGUCGAACGGAAAGGCCCUGCAUUUGUGGGGUGCUCGAGUGGCGAACGGGUGAGUAACACGUGAGUAACCUGCCCUCGACUUUGGGAUAACUUCAGGAAACUGGGGCUAAUACCGGAUAGGAGCUCCUGCUGCAUGGUGGGGGUUGGAAAUUUUCGGCGGUUGGGGGUGGACUCGCGGCUUAUCAGCUUGUUGGUGGGGUAGUGGCUUACCAAGGCUUUGACGGGUAGCCGGCCUGAGAGGGUGACCGGCCACAUUGGGACUGAGAUACGGCCCAGACUCCUACGGGAGGCAGCAGUGGGGAAUAUUGAACAAUGGGCGGAAGCGUGAUGCAGCAACGCCGCGCGCGGGAUGACGGCCUUCGGGUUGUAAACCGCUUUCGCCUGUGACGAAGCGUGAGUGACGGUAAUGGGUAAAGAAGCACCGGCUAACUACGUG